rfam:Canis lupus familiaris chromosome 11, whole genome shotgun sequence.
AGGAGGAACAACCGCAGUGGCGGGGCCAGCUCUGGAUCCCUGGAGUCAGCCCCCGCAGGAACUCUGGAGCUCUCGGUCUGCAGGGCCUGGAGGCUCCGGGCGAGG